UGGGGAAUAUUGCACAAUGGGCGCAAGCCUGAUGCAGCCAUGCCGCGUGUGUGAAGAAGGCCUUCGGGUUGUAAAGCACUUUCAGUCGGGAGGAAGGUGUCAAGGUUAAUAACCUUGGCAAUUGACGUUACCGACAGAAGAAGCACCGGCUAACUCCGUGCCAGCAGCCGCGGUAAUACGGAGGGUGCAAGCGUUAAUCGGAAUUACUGGGCGUAAAGCGCACGCAGGCGGUUGAUUGAGUCAGAUGUGAAAUCCCCGGGCUUAACCCGGGAAUUGCAUCUGAUACUGGUCAGCUAGAGUCUUGUAGAGGGGGGUAGAAUUCCAUGUGUAGCGGUGAAAUGCGUAGAGAUGUGGAGGAAUACCGGUGGCGAAGGCGGCCCCCUGGACAAAGACUGACGCUCAGGUGCGAAAGCGUGGGGAGCAAACAGG
rnacentral:rRNA from 1 species